rnacentral:lncRNA from 1 species
UCUCCUCCUAAUGUCUCAAGAGUGAGUUGUUGAGAUUCUAAGUGCCAGUUAAUGAGAAAGAGAGGGGGAGAAAUGGGGGGUGGACUAAUCUGGGGACCUUGAAGCUAUUCUGCUCUGUUCUUGCCUGCACGUCUAGAGGAAUUGAACCAGAAAUUCCAAAACUCUGCAGUAGUUUAAUGAAUAGGGCAGGGAAGCCAUCAACGUGUCUAGUUGUGGCUCUCUCUAAGGUGGGGCAGCCCCCCCCCCGCUUUGGCAUGCUAAGCUAAAUGCCCUUCUGCUUACCUCUUAUCCCUUCCUUAUUUAGAGUAAUAUCAACUCUCCAAGACGGGGCAAAGGAUAGCAUUGACUGCCGGUCGUUUAAAUUAAAGCAUUUCAAGAUUUAGAGCUGGCAUUUAAUGUCCUUUUCCCCCCCUAUAAUUUGAUGCUUUGUCCUCUAGCCGGCCGGGACUCAGGAUGGCCGAGGAAGGCGGCUGUCAGAGGAUGUGGGGCGUUUACGCCGAAGCAGGGAGCAAGAGAAGGUAAGAUUCCCCAAUAGUCUACCCCAGGAUGUGGUCAACCAUUUUUCCCUUGAAGCCUGCUCGACAGCUCAGUUGUUUAUAGGUGUCUGGAUACCGAUCCAGAUGUUCUGAGUUCAAAUCCUCCACUGGGCCUCCUUGACAGGGGCCCGGACUUGGUGAUCCAGAGGGUCCCUUCCAGCAGCGGGUCGGUCCAGAAGCGGAUGACUUCCUGUUUAGCACGGGGAGCGGGAGAGAUAGUGAAUGCGCUCCGUCUUUUACUCCAAACUUUAAAGGAGCAGUCCCAGAGGCUGAACCUAUUUUGUAUUCUCAUCCCAAUUUCUGGAUCAGGGCCUUGCGGGGACAGAGAGGAUGUCCUCUGGCAGCACCCGGCGGAGUGUCAGCUCCUCCCGCUUGGAACAACUGGCCGAAAAACGAGGCUCUGCCACCAGACAGAAAGGCUUGGCCUUUCAGAGCCCCAAAGGCCCGACUACCGAGCGAAGCCCGGAGGAACUGCAGGCCCUCAGGGUGGAAGUACUGACCCUCCGCCGGCGCCUGGAGGCCUCGGAGAGCCAGCGCAAAACCCUCCUGGAGAGCUGUUGGCAACAGCAGAGGACCCGGGCCUGGGUUCAAGAGAGGCAGACGCCCCUGUUGGGGCUGAGAGUGGCAUCGUGGCAGAGGAGAAAAGAGGCUUCCCGCCACCAGGCUGGGAAGAAACCGCAGGCUUUGGAGGGGAGAGAAGUCACAGGAAAGAGAGGAGCGCUCGGGUCCAGAGGGGAGGAGGCGCUGGAGGCUCAAACAGAGCAAGAAGGUCCAGAAGAGGCUGAACCAGAAAUGGGAACGCCUAACACCCCUGCAGGGCGGGCCAAGGCAGAGGCGCCUUGUCUAGCGAAAGCUGAGGAGCUAAACCGGACCCAAGAUGAAGCUCAUGCAGAAGGAAAACCUGAUGAACCUGGGGAGGCCACGGAGGGCUGGCGUGAGACUAUCCGGACUCUAGCCGCCGGCAAAGCCGAAGCGGAAGCCCAAGCCCGCCUGGCCCAGCAGAAGCUCCAAAGCUUGCAGGCCACGUUAGGGCUCCAGACGGAACGGCUGUCUCAAGCCUUAGAGGCCCAAAGCCGCCACGUGGAGGAGUUGGUGGCCGACGCCGAGGGGAAGGAACGACUCGUGGACAGCCUGCGGCGAGAGCUGGAGGACACCAAAAACGCCCUGGACGCGGCCCACGGGGAGACGCAAAGCCUGCGGGCGUUGUUGGAGGAGAAGGAGGAAGAACUGCGUCGCGUUGGCGCCAAAACUGCCCACGGGUUAGCCGGGGAUGGCGAGGCCACGCUCGCCCGAGGCGACAAAGCCGGCAUGGCGCGCAAUGGCCUGGCCACAUGUGCGCAGAAAGAGGGUCAUGAGCAGGCAGAAGUAAGCCUUUUUGCCUGGGAUAUUGGGAAUUUUUUUUAUUUUUAUUUUAAGAACUCUUUCAAGAAAGCAUUUCCAAGCCUUGCGAUGGUAAAGAUGUAUGGCACGGAAUAA